rfam:Brachypodium distachyon strain Bd21 chromosome 3, whole genome shotgun sequence.
UGGAUACUCUCUCCGUCCCAUAUUAAGUGACUUUUUAUUACAUGCAUCUAGACGCUCUUCAGACAUAGAUACAUUCAUAUUUGGGCAAAUUUGAGUCACUUAAUAUGAGACGGAGAGAGUAUAAA